rnacentral:pre_miRNA from 12 species
GGUACUUAGAGUGAGGUUACCAUUUGUAUAUUCAGUUUCUUGACAUGGAAUAUACAAGGGCAAGCUCUCUGUGAGCAUC